rnacentral:rRNA from 2 species
UACGUAGGGUGCAAGCGUUAAUCGGAAUUACUGGGCGUAAAGCGUGCGCAGGCGGUUAUGCAAGACAGAGGUGAAAUCCCCGGGCUCAACCUGGGAACUGCCUUUGUGACUGCAUAGCUAGAGUACGGCAGAGGGGGAUGGAAUUCCGCGUGUAGCAGUGAAAUGCGUAGAUAUGCGGAGGAACACCGAUGGCGAAGGCAAUCCCCUGGGCCUGUACUGACGCUCAUGCACGAAAGCGUGGGGAGCAAACAGG